GACCUGUACAGCAGUACAGACCAGAGUCUCCUGGACCUGGACCCAGUUGUCUGUCCUUCAAGAGUGACUGGUCUGAUGGUGGAUUAAUUAAUUUCAAGGAUGGACAUCAAUCUGAUCAUCAAAAGUAAUAAUCUAUAACAGCAGCACUCAAGCCUGGAAGAUUUUUAGAUUUCUUCAUCAGUGUUUUUAUUUCUGUCAGAGUCAUACAUGAGACACCAGACUCUCCUGGACCUGGACCUGCUCCCAGCCUUGUGUCCUUCCUGAGUGACCGGUCUAAGGGCUCUAUUUUGGUGCCUCGCCGAAGACGUGCCGCAAGCGCAGCGUCAAUCAGAUCCGCCGCGCUGACAAGGCGUUCCCAAGCACAUUUUGGUAUUUUGGUGAGCCGCGCAGCCCGGCGUAAGUAUCCCCCCUCCCUAACUCAGCUCCUCCCGGCAGCAUAAGUC